rnacentral:rRNA from 1 species
UACGAAGGGGGCUAGCGUUGUUCGGAAUUACUGGGCGUAAAGGGCGCGUAGGCGGACCUGCAAGUCGGGGGUGAAAGCCCGAGGCUCAACCUCGGAACUGCCUUCGAUACUGCGGGUCUCGAGUCCGGGAGAGGUGAGUGGAAUUCCUAGUGUAGAGGUGAAAUUCGUAGAUAUUAGGAAGAACACCGGUGGCGAAGGCGGGUCUCUGGGCCGAUACUGACGCUGAGGAGCGAAAGCGUGGGGAGCGAACAGG